UCCAUGCCGUAAACGUUGGGCACUAGGUGUGGGGGACAUUCCACGUUUUCCGCGCCGUAGCUAACGCAUUAAGUGCCCCGCCUGGGGAGUACGGCCGCAAGGCUAAAACUCAAAGGAAUUGACGGGGGCCCGCACAAGCGGCGGAGCAUGCGGAUUAAUUCGAUGCAACGCGAAGAACCUUACCAAGGCUUGACAUGGGCCGGACCGCCGUGGAAACACGGCUUCCCCUUUGGGGCCGGUUCACAGGUGGUGCAUGGUUGUCGUCAGCUCGUGUCGUGAGAUGUUGGGUUAAGUCCCGCAACGAGCGCAACCCUCGUUCCAUGUUGCCAGCGGGUUAUGCCGGGGACUCAUGGGAGACUGCCGGGGUCAACUCGGAGGAAGGUGGGGACGACGUCAAAUCAUCAUGCCCCUUAUGUCUUGGGCUUCACGCAUGCUACAAUGGCCGGUACAAAGGGUUGCGAUACUGUGAGGUGGAGCUAAUCCCAAAAAGCCGGUCUCAGUUCGGAUUGGGGUCUGCAACUCGACCCCAUGAAGUCGGAGUCGCUAGUAAUCGCAGAUCAGCAACGCUGCGGUGAAUACGUUCCCGGGCCUUGUACACACCGCCCGUCAAGUCACGAAAGUUGGUAACACCCGAAGCCGGUGGCCCAACCCCUUGUGGGAGGGAGCCGUCGAAGGUGGGACCGGCGAUU
rnacentral:rRNA from 1 species